rnacentral:rRNA from 1 species
UGGGGAAUAUUGCACAAUGGAGGGAACUCUGAUGCAGCGACGCCGCGUGAACGAAGAAGGCUUUCGAGCCGCAAAGUUCUUUUAUAUGGGAAGAUAAUGACGGUACCAUAAGAAAAAGCCUCGGCUAACUACGUGCCAGCAGCCGCGGUAAUACGUAGGGGGCUAGCGUUGUCCGGAAGCACUGGGCGUAAAGGGUUCGCAGGCGGAAAUGCAAGUCAGGUGUAAAAGGCAGUAGCUUAACUACUGUAAGCAUUUGAAACUGCAUAUCUUGAGAAGAGUAGAGGUAAGUGGAAUUUUUAGUGUAGCGGUGAAAUGCGUAGAUAUUAAAAAGAAUACCGGUGGCGAAGGCGACUUACUGGGCUCAUUCUGACGCUGAGGAACGAAAGCGUGGGUAGCAAACAGG